UGUUUGAUUUCAUAGGAAAAAAGGAAGAGGAAAAGCCAACUCAUGCCCAAGAAGAACAGGCUAUUUCCUCUGAGUUUGAUGAAAAAGUAAAAGUAUCUGAAGAAGUUGCAGAAUACAAGGAGGAAGAGAAGAAAGAAGAGAAGAAACUUCAUCGAUCAAGUAGCAGCUCUAGCAGCUCCGUAAGUAUUUUCGAUCAUGGGUAAAAUUUAUCGGUACUCAUUUAUUUACAUCAAAUCAAUAAAUAUAAAAUAAUUAUGUUUCAUAGAUGCAUGUUUUACUUAAUUGUACCUAUUCUUACUUUAUUUUAUGGUAAUUAUUAACAGAGUCACAUCCAGGAUUGAAAGUUUAUGAGUUCCUAUUAUAAUUUUAAAUUAAUAUACAAUAAUAACUGAAUUCACGCUUAUAUAUUUAUUGAUAUUUAAUGAAUUUUUUAAUAAAAAUACUGAAUCUAUGCAAAAAUUACUGGCUUCUCGGAUCCAGAAGCUAUACUCUACAUCCGCCUAGCCUUUGGACAUAGAUUGAGUUGAAACUUGAAAAAAUAUUUUUGAAGUAGUUUUGGAAAAUAAUUUUUGGAAGUUGAAAUUAGUUUGGACAUACAUUUUAUUUGAAAAACAUUUGAAGUUUUGUGAGUAGGAACUGAUUUUCAUCCAAAAUCUACCAUAAACUAGAUUUUGGAAACUUAAAAAAUAUUUUCAGAAAUUUUUCAAAAACAGAUCACUAAUUUGUGGACAAACAAUGUUUUAAAAAAAAAAUGAAAAAAACUUGCCAAAAUGUAUGGCCAAACGAGGGCUUAAAUUUUUUUACACGAUCAGGUCAUAUUUACCUUAUUGUAUCAAGUAACAUGUCUCGUUUUCAAAAUUUACUUCUAGAUAUUCUUCGAAUGACUUGACAGUAUGAAAAACUAAUUACAUCGAUGGUGUAUAUAUAUAUAUAUUUUGAUCAUGUUUACAUGAAUAGCCUCAUCAUAUAGAAAAGCAUCAGCGGCUGUUUUCACGACUCGAACUUUGUAACCUUGCUGUUUGUGUACAACAAAAACUCUUUUUAUAGUUGGAUGAAGCUUAUGUUAAUUGUGAUGAUCUUGCAGAGUGAUGAAGAGGAAGAAAUAGGAGAGGACGGACAGAAAAUCAAGAAGAAGAAAAAGAAGGGUUUGAAGGAUAAGAUCAAGGAGAAAAUAUCUGGAGAACACAAGGAAGAUGAGAAGGCAGAGGACACAGCUGUUCCAGUGGAGAAAUACGAAGAAGCAGAGGAGAAAAAAGGAUUCCUAGACAAGAUUAAGGAGAAGUUGCCAGUUGGCGGCCAAAAGAAGACGGAGGAAGUGGCGCCUCCACCACCGGCUGCGGCGGAACACGAGGCUGAGGGAAAAGAGAAGAAGGGAUUUUUGGACAAGAUUAAGGAGAAAUUACCACGAUACCACUCAAAGACUGAAGAAGAAAAGGAAAAAGAGAAAGAAACUGCAUCUCACUAGAUUAUUACAGCAUGAAAAUGAAUGUUUUUAUUUGUCGCUUUUUUGUUUUUUUGUUUUUGUGUAUGUCAUGAUUGUGUUACUGCUGUUUGGUUAAGCUUUCAUUUCCUUCACUUUUUUGGGGUUUGAAGGAUAAUAGUAUUGUAUUCAUAUAUGUAAGUGCAUAUAGCAUGUGCUUAUGUAUAAAGUUUGAUGUGGAUCUUUCGUUUGUAAAAUGCAGUUGGUUUUGCUUUUCACCUUAUCUUUUGUGUUUUCCUUAAUUACCUAUGUUAAAGCAUUAGGAUAAUUAAACAAGAUAAGCCAGCAAGGUGGCCUUGUGUUUUAUUAUCAGGAGAAAGUGUACCAAUAAUAAUAGGAAUUAUGGUACCACAAUGUUUGUCAACUUCGUAAAAUUUCACGAAUGGGAUAUGGGUGUGUACGCAAAUUUUACCUCAACCCGAAAAAGUAUAGAGGUUAGUUUUCGAAAGACCCUCGGCAAUAUUUGUCAACUAAUGUGGUUAAAAUGAAUGGAGUUGUGAUUGCAUCUUCACAUGAUGCAAAAUAAGAACAAAAAUUAGAUACCAUAACUUGCCUUCGAACGGGCUUCACCUUUAAAGGAGAGUAAUCAAUCCGUGAAUGAAGAUCAAAUUUACCGCUUAAAAUGUUGUACUUCAGUGAUGACGACCUUCAAAGGAGAGUAAUCGAUCCGUGAAUGAAGAUCAAAUUUAUCGCUUAAAAUGUAGUACUUCAGUGAUGACGACCUAACAUAUAUAGGUUUUAUUCAUUCGCUCCGUAGGUGAUGCCACUUAAAAGGGUCGAUAGGCUUGUAAUUCAAGCAUCACAUGUCUAUCCUAAAAGUCUUCAAAGGAGGACUAUGAGUUGUAAGUGUGAAGGUUAAGAAAUUAAGACCGUGGGUGUGUGUGGUCUAAAGUUUAAAGUGUACUACUAUAUUCUACUCAAAUUUUUGAAAUAGGUCUGAAUCGGAUCGGAUUUAGCAUAUUUCAGAUUCGGAUUUCGAAUUUUGGAUUCUACAAAAUACAAUCCAAAUCUGAUCCGAAUUAAUAUCGGAUCGGAUCAAAUUUUAAAAUUUGGAUCGGAUCAAUAUUUUAGAUUUCGGAUCGGAUUAUUAUGCCUCAAAGUUGCAAACUCAUAUGUAUAUAUUCAUUGUAAGAGAUGCAAUACAUCAAGAACAAUUCAUGUUUCUGCAAUUAUAUGAGAGCACUAUGGUGUCAAUAUAGCUAAAUCCAGCAAUUGUAAAGGUAGAAAUUUGGAAGAAGAAAAAAGAAGAAGACUUUUGGGAGAAUUGCUAGUCUCCCAACCUUGAGGAGUCCCCAAUUUGGGGCUUCACAAAUGUAAAAGUUAAACCCAUUAGUUAUUCAUUGGUUAUCCAUUUUCUAAGUGAAUAUUGUGGUUCUUAUCCAUAUUCGAUCCGUUUUUAAAAUGUUUAUUAUCCAACCCAUUUUUAAUGGAUAAUAUGGGUGGAUACCUGUUUUAUUUUAGCCAUUUUGCCACCUCUAGUCAUCACUCACCACUCACAUUAUUAGCAUCACUCACGUUAGUACUUAUUUUGUUUACCUCGAAAAAUGUGAGUAACAAUUAAAGAUAGUUUGUGGUUUUAAAGAUAUGUGAUAAAUUCUAAUACUAGUGAUUAUACAAGUAAUAUUAAGCUUAAGUAAGAAAAGUUGGUAGGCGAAAUUGAUAUUGUUGAAGCAGAAGGAGCCUCGAGCUUGAUUACCCCAGGGACCUCGAGGUCAGCUAAGAACAAUGAAGUAUAAAGAAAAGAUAAUAAAGCUGAAGAACAAUUGGUAAACAGCUGAGUAGAAUAUUCUAUUGCAGUGAAUAAUGUGAGAUGAUCUUACAAAAUGAUUUGGGUCCCCUUUAUAUAGGAGGAGAAAACUCCAAUAUAAUACAUUCCUAAUUGUAGUAAAGAAUUCUAUUGGUACAAGUGUACAGUAACCUAGUACAGACCUGUACCAUUUCCUACAAAUCUUAUCCUUUAAUUUAUGCUCUGACCCACGUGUCCUUGAGAAAUUUUUGCUCUUUCUUGAGUGCCCUCUAGAUUGUACUGCCCUCGAGCCAGGCCUUCAAUCUGCUUCCUCGAGGUGUGUGUGCUCUAACCGGGUCUGACCUCUAUUUCGAGUCAUCCAGACUCGAACUCAUAGCCCAGUUUAAGACUUGGAAAUCGGGUUCCUUGAUUCAGACCGUAUAUAGAUAGUCCCCGCGUUUUUUAGAAUGAAAUGAUAUGAAACGAUUUGGAUUCCCGAAGUCAUUUAUGAUUGCACCACUCUUAUGACGUAAGCGUUGAAAUAACCGAAGCGUCCCGUUAGUUCUUUUCCCCAAAAAUAAUAAAUGCACGUCAGAGCCGGUCGACCAUCACUACUAAUGAACCGUCGCCGCCUUCCACUAUAUACACUUGAUUUUUCUUCUCAUUAAGGACUUUUUUACCUUGCAAUACCUAUUCUCUUCUAUACUUUUCCUUUUCACCCCCAGUUCCUCUGUCGCAUCGGCUCAAAACCUUGUUGGUUCACUCAAUUUCUUCCUUAUUUUCCUAAAGCACUGAUGGCUAAAACUUCUAAGUCUGUUCCUCAGAAAGAAGAGAACUCUACUUCUACUUCCCGUCCGGCCGGUGGUAAAUCGCCGGCUCUUCAUGAGAUCAUAUCGGGCAAAUUUUCCUUUAAAAAGGACUUUAUAGUCGAAAACCCUCCCGACGUUGUCGGCCGUCGAGAGCAUGCAUCGUGGUACAUAAGGUCAAUUGAGGAAAGUCAUCUCGAUGCUGUGAGAAGGGAGUGCAAGUGGGGAGAGGAGGUCGUUCUGCAAAUACCUUCUCAAGGGGAGGACAUCACAACUUACAUAGAGGGAUUCCUGAGUGUGUAUACAUACCCCUUUACAUUGGGUCCCCUCGACCCACUCGUGCUCGAAUUCUGCCAAAGAUAUCAAGUAACCCUGGGCCAGAUUCAUCCGUCCUUUUGGCGGAUCGUAAUAAUGAUGAGGUUCUUCAAUGAAAAGGCCGAUCUCGAGUUCACCCUUAGCCACCUCAUUUGAUUAUAUCGACCUUAACAUUUCUGAGGUUUAAUCAAACUCCAACACCGAAAAAUUAAGUCUUUCUUUGUCAGUAACAACGAAGGCAAGGAUCGAGGUUGGAUGAGCCGGUUCAUCCAGGUGAGGACCGUCGAUAUUAUCCCCGAGAAAUUCCUGCCGUUCCCCGAGAAAUGGAAUUUCGAACGUGAGUGGAAUUCUUUUAACUCUUUUCCAUAAACUUUUCUAAACUUUUUAUAAUUAUUCCUUUCCCCUCUUCGACCUCAAGGACUGGGUUCGCAGACUAGCUGCUACUUCACCAUAUGACAAACGCAAAUGGCGGGACUUGUCGAAGGGCAAGUGGGAAGUGAAACAUCAUGGUACAUGCCAUAAUGUUUCUUUCCUCAUUAAGAAUAUCUUUCUUCAUGUGACCUGAUUCCUUUAUCGCAGGUAUUAGUGAGUUCUUUGAGAUGAGGCCGCCUCCUUUCGGGGAGAAAGCAGGAUCUUCGGCUCCAAAGCCUAAGGAGGACAAUAAGAGGAAGAGGUCUUCGACGAGAGAGGACACCCAAAGCCAAACAGAGCCUACUCAGAGGCAUAGCAGAAGCGUUAUUAUCAGUGUGGACGUUGACUCAGCCCACCAAUUCAUGGAUGAUGAUGGUGACGAGAUGGAAGGUUUGACGCUUGUGACUCGAACUGGGAAAUCCUCUGAGGCUAUCAAGCCUGCUGAGAUCGGGGCCCCUACCCUCAAAGAAGGAACUUUAAAAGAAAAGGGGAAUGAAUGCCCUGCACCAUCUGAUACGACAACGGUUUCUCAGACUUCUGGAAAUACCCCAAAAGGAGCGAGUUUCGAAGCUUCUUUGCCUAAAUAGAAUGCCUCGGGUGAUCUCACCAAGGCCAUGCAUGACAGAAGGUCAACCUUUGUCGUUUUUGGCAUUCUCCGAGGAUACCAUUAGGGAUGCUCAGAACGUGAAGAUGUCCGAGCUCGGCGGAAUCCCGAGUGAAAAUGACCCCUUCCAAGGUUACUUUGCCGGGGUCUAUGAGGACGACCCAGCGGAUGCGAGCUCAAUCUUCGAGGAGGCUCAACGUCUUUGUUUAAUUGUAGUUUUAGCGGCCCUGAUGUUUCUCCACUGCCAUACUUUUCUUCUCUUGUCUAAUUAAUCGUUCCUUUCAUUUGUAUAGGCCUUUGACAAUUGAAGACCGAAUUGCGCCAUUAUGACGUCGAAUUGCGUAGGGCUUCAAGUGAGGAGAAAACACUUAGGCUUCUCCUUGACCAAAAGAAGGAAGAACUGAAACAUCUCCUAUCAGAGCUGACCAAAGCUCAUGAAUACGAGAGUGAGCCAGAAAAGCAGGUAACCUCUAUUCUAAAAAAAUACAGGCUACCUCUCCCGUCUUCGGAGGCUAAUACUUCAAUGUAUCAACUACAGUAGAAGCUAGAUAUGAUCGGGCAGCUCCGGGGCGAGGUUGAUCAAAUCCGAGCCGAGUGCAAUGAAUGGAAAGCGAAGAUAGAUGCCCUUGUUGUGGCUAAAAAUGAUGCAUUGGAGAAGGUAUCAGCCCUCGAGGUCCAACUUUGAAAUGCUCAAGGGAGCAACUGGGUUCAAGCUAGCAAAAUAGCUGAGCUCGAGGCUGGUCUUGCGAAGGCCAAGGCCGAAGUGGUGGAAGUCAGGGCCGAAGCCAGCGUAAUAUAGGCCAAGGCCGGCAGGAUGGUGGCCAUCUAUUUGAAAGUUGUUGCCGAUGCUCAGAUGGAGUUGAGAGAGGCUUCCGAUCGAGAAAAAAAAAGCAAUGACUAUGUCCGACGCCGAUCUCGAAGGGAGAUCCUCUAAGAGAUUCAUGCUAAGGGCUUUGAUCUUUCCGAGGAGAUAAACCAAGCUAAGGCAGAUGAGGCUGAUACCAAAUUUGUCCUUUCCUCCGAUGAUGAUGAUGACGCCGAAGAUGAUGAAGAGGAGGGGGUUGCCGAAGAAGUUACUCCCGGAGAAGAGGCUGGUCCCGGGGAAACGACAUGUCUGGGGGGAAAUGCCCCUCUGGAGUAGGUAGGAGGAGGUAUAAUUUUUUCUAACUUUUUGUAUAUUUUGCUUUGUAUGACCCCCGUGUAAUAUCUUUUUGUAUAUAUAAAAAGAAGCUUCCUUUGUCGUUUGCCUUCAAUUUUUCUUCAGCGUUUGUUAAAUUUUUGAUGCUCUGACCUCUGAGCGUUGAACCAAAUUCGGGGUAGAGUAGACCCUCAAAUAUUUGUAUUUUGAUCAACGAUCGAUAAUAGGUCACUACUUAAUGUUCGAUCUUCGAGCUAAGUUUUAGCUCAGGACUUUUGAGUCCGAGCUAGGUAAGGUCUCCGAGCAUGGUGUGCUUCGGCCUUAAAGCUCUUUAAAUAUUGGCCCUUAAGGUCUUUUAGGUUGGCCCUUAGACUCUUUUAGGUUGGCCCUUAGGCUCUUUUAUGUUUGCCCUUAGGCUCUUUUAGGUUGGCCCUUAGGCUCUUUAAAUUGGGCUGUUUAGGUCUCUAAAAAUGGCUAUAUAGUUUUUCCCUCAUUUCAGCUAAAUUUGAGGAGUCCCCAAUUGCUAGUCUCCCAACCUUGAGGAGUCCCCAAUUUGAGGCUUCACAAAUGUAAAAGUUAAACCCAUUAGUUAUCUAUUGACUAUCCAUUUUCUAAGUGGAUAUUAUGGUUCUUAUCCAUAUUCGACCCGUUUUUAAAAUGUUCCUUAUCCAACCCAUUUUUUAAUGGAUAAUAUGGGUGGAUACCUAUUUUAUUUUAACUAUUUUGCCAUCUCUAGUCAUCACUCACCACUCACAUUAUUAGCAUCACUCACAUUAGUACUUAUUUUGUUUACCUCGAAAAAUGUGAGUAACAAUUAAAGAUAGUUUGUGGUUUUAAAGAUAUAUGAUAUAUUCUAAUACUAGUGAUUAUACAAGUAAUAUUAAGCUUAAAUAAGAAAAGUUGGUGGACCAAAUUGAUGUUGUUGAAGCAGAAAGAGUCUCGAGCUUGAUUACCCAGGGACCUCGAGGUCGUUUAGUUAUGCCUUAGCAUGUGCUUUUGUACCCGUUGGGUUUUUCGAAGGCUUGACUUAUCGGAACCUUAUUAGUCAUUUAGCUUGUGUAGGCAUGAUCGAAUAACUUUUAAGGUUUUCCUGAAGGCUGGUAUUAUCGAAGCCUUUAGAUUAUUCGAGGGCUGAUUUUAUUGAAGCCCCUUAUAAUUUGCUUUUGCCGAGGGUAGCCUGAGUUAACCAGUUUUUUCGAAAUAUAUGAAGGCCUUUAGUUUUAUGGCGAAAGUGGACAUCUUGAGCCGCAUUAUUUCGGCCGUAUCCUUUUCAUAAGACUAUAGUCUUUUAUAUGGCCGUAGCCUUUAGUCCCCGAGUGUGAUGGCCUUAGCCUUAAUAUCGAGGGGAUACCUCUUCGAGGUCUUGUGAGCUCGAAUGUGCCUCUUUGAGGUCUUAUAAGUUCGAGUGUGCCUCUUUGAGGUCUUAUAAGUUUGAGUGUUCGAUAACUCAAAAUGUCGAUAGUUGAUAACCGCCCCCGAGUGUUUGGGUGCUUUCGGGGUUUUGGCCCUUAAGCCGUUAAAUGUGAAAAUAGUAGACUUCUUUGAGGCACAAAGUGUUUAGAUAUAUAAAAAAUUCUUUUUCAAAUAAUGCGUACAUAUUUUGCCGCUGGGGGCUCGACUGUUCUAUGUGGACACGGUUCUUUCGACCGUUUGGCCCAUUAUAACAUUCCCUAUCGAGGACCUCCUUGGCAUAAAUUGCUUUCUUCGAGGAUGCUUCCUCCGAGCAUGAUGCCCCCCAAUAUUUGAGGUUAAUUGAAAAGAAGCCUUGAAUACUUUGUUGAAUGUUCCUUAGGUAGCAUAUAGGUGUUGCCUCGUUAAAAACCUUACCGGUAAAACCCAUUUUGGAUAAAACUCGAUCUAAGGGAAAAAGAGUGCAACACAUGCUUUCAAACCCAAGGCCUUCGAGCUGAUAGAUGCCUUAAUAUCUCCAAUCGAACAUCUGCAAGGAGUUAGUUUUAAAUACAAAUGGAAAAGGGGAGAAGGUCACACCUCAGCAGUAAUAUCGCUUGAGAAUCGAUACAUUCCAAUUGUUUGGUAGUUGCUCGCCUUCCAUUGUGCUAAGUUUGUAGGAUCCUCCCUACGAUUCCGAUUAAACGGUACGGUCCUUCCCAAUUGGGGCCUAACUUCCCUUUGUUUGGGUCUCGAGUGUUGAGGGUGACUUUUCUUAGGGCCAAGUCCCCGAAUCUAAAAUAUCAAAGGUGCGUCCUUCUGUUGUAAUACUUUUCGAUCCUUUGUUUUUGCGCGGCCAUUCGAAUCAAUGCGGCCUCACGUUUUUUGUCAAGUAGUUCGCGAGAAGUGUUCAUGGCUUAGUGAUUUGAGUCCUCGGUGGCAUGCUGAAACCUACCACUAGGUUCCCCGACUUCAACUGGGAUCAAUGCUUCGGAUCCAUAUACCAAAAAAAUGGGGUCUCCCCCGUGUUCGGCUUCGAAGUUGUUCGAUAUGCCCAUAGCAUCUCGGGCAACACUUCUCUCCAUUUCCCCUUAGCAUCAUCUAACCUUUUCUUUAAGUUUUGAAUUGUAGUUUUGUUUGUGGACUCAACCUAACCGUUUGCGCUUGGGUGGUAAGGUGUUGAUAGAAUCCUUUUGAUUUUAUGGUCCUCGAGGAAUUUUGUUACCUUGCUGCCGAUGAACUGCUUUCCAUUGUCACAUGCUAUCUCGGCGGGUAUCCCGAAUCGACAUAUGACGUGGUCCCAUAUGAAGUCGAUGACUUCUUUUUCUCUGAUUUUCUCGAAGGCCUAUGCUUCUACCCAUUUUGAGAAGUAGUCAGUCAUAAAAAAAAUUUAGCUUUACCUGGUGCCGUUGGUAGGGGGCCGACGAUGUCCAUCCCCUAUUUCAUAAAUGGCCACGAGGAUAGGACCGAAUGGAGUUGUUCACCGGGUUGAUGGAUCAUCGGUGUAAAUUUUUGGCAUUUGUCAAACUUUCGAACGAACUCCUUCGUAUCCUUUUCCAUGGUAUACCAAUAGUACCCCGCUCUAAUCACCUUGCGAAUCAGAGAGUCCGCACCAGAAUGGUUCCCACAAGUACCCUCGUGGAUUUCUCGUAGUAUGUAAUCGGUAUCCCCGGGUCCCAAGCACACUGCCAGUGGUCCAUCGAAGGUUAUUCUGUACAACGUUCCAUUUUCAUCGAGUGAGAAUUGAGCUGCUUUGGUUCGAAGUGUUCUCGACUCCUUUGGGUCCGCGGCAAGCUUCCUGUGCUUCAGGUAGUCGAUGUACUUAUUCCUCCAAUCACACGUUAAACUUGUUGAAUUAAUCUCUGCAUGGCCUUCUUCGACCACUGACUUCGAUAGUUGGACGAAAAUCCCCGGGACAAUAUCAUCUUCUUCAACCGAUGAUCCCAAGUUUGCAAGUGCAUUGGCCUCAAUAUUCUGCUCUAGAGGUACAUGAUCCAGCGCCCACUCCUUGAAGCGGUGCAAUGUCACUUGAAGUUUGUCCAAGUACCUCUGCAUUCGGUGUGCUAGACAUGUUCAAGCCUGAAAUCAAAGAAUCUUUGACAAGAAAAAGUGUAAAGAAUAACAUGUGUUAUCAGAAAACUAACACUAAAACAAUUACUAUUAUCUUUAGCCCCACGAUGGGCGCCAAACUGUUUACCUCAAAUAAUGUGAGUAACAAUUAAAGAUAGUUUGUGGUUUUAAAGAUAUGUGAUAUAUUCUAAUACUAGUGAUUAUACAAGUAAUAUUAAGCUUAAGUAAGAAAAGUUGGUGGACCAAGUUGACAUUGUUGAAGUAGAAGGAUCCUCGAGCUUGAUUACCCCAGGGACCUCGAGGUCAGCUAAGAACAAUGAGGUAUAAAGAAAAGACAAUAUUAUUACAGACCCAAUGAGUGAAAUAAAUUACAGUGAAAUAAUAUUAUAAUAAAAAUUGAGGAGUUAGUAAAAUCGGGAAAAUGGGUUUAUUUUAAUAUUUGCAUCAAACGGGUAGAAAUCCUGCCUAUAGGUAUUUAAUUUGCUCAAACAUGUUCUGCUACUGUGUGUGUUAGAUAACCUGCCUAUAGGUAUUUAAUUCGUUCUGCUUCUACAUGUUUGUCAAAUAAAGUGACCAAUGUUUUAAUUUGCAUUACAACAUCCAUUAGACAUUAUGACCAUAGGGUCAUGAUAGCUUAUGUUCUACAAAUCUGCAUUUUAGAAAUCAUGCCUAUAGGAUUUUAAUUGGUUAAUGUGUUGUUAUAAUUACUCACUUAGGAGACAUGCCUAUAGGAGCUAAAACCAGUUUCUAUCGCUAAAUGUAGAAAUCCUGCCUAUAGGAUAUUCCCACUCGCUUUUAAGUGCUAAUAUUGAACUUUUAACACUGUUUCGUUGUUACUAUUAGAAAGCAUGUCUAUAGGAUCAAACCAGGUAAUUCUGAAUGUCUUCCAUGACUAUCACUACUAACUACUGCGUAAAUCACCUAGAUAUCAUUUCUAUAGGUUUAAUUGCUUGCAACUUGCAAUCAUUAGGCAAUUGUGUAGUCGCUCAGAAGUUGUAUCUAAAAUGGCACCUUGCAUAUGAAACUGACUGCAUUUUUGAAUUCCUAAGUCACAUAGAAACCAUAUCUACAGGGCUUAAUGACUUUAACGCGUCUCAGUUCUGGAACUGUCAAAUGCCUAAUUUGUUUGCGUGCAUUUGUUUUCUAAGUGUGGAGGCUAACUUGAGCCUUUAAUUGCUUUUACAUGAAGUCCAACUUAUUUUGUAUGUCGUCUAGUUUUCUCAUUUUGAGCAAUCUAAGUUAAGUCUAGAACCACCCAAAAUAGAGGUCAGAUGCCUCUUGGACUAUAGACAUGGGACGGGUAGUGCACCCAUAAAGUACGGCUUAGAAUCAAUUAGUGCGCCUUAUGUAACAACUUAAAGAUAGUAAUCGGGUAGCAGGAGAUGAUAGUCUGUGCCCGCUGAAUAAUACGAGUAACACCUCAUCUCGAGAGAGUUAUGAAGUAUUAUUUAUGUUGCACGGGGUGAUCCUUUAGGCUAAAAAACUUAGGACCCCCCUCCUAUCUUGUCUUAAACUCAAUUAUUUUGUUUAUUGGUAGAUUUUUUAUAAUAAUCGCCCAACUUCUUGUCUUUCCCUCUUGUUUUGGACUAAUUCAUAUAAUUCGAGUCCGGCCGGGACCCACAGUUGUGGACCUCGAAGAGUGCCUAACACUUAUUUUCGAGGUAAUUUGAUCCCUUACCCGGUCUUUGGUGACGCAAACUGGUUAACCCUGAGUUAUUUGCAAAUAGGUGCCCUAACUCACCUCAAACCCGUUAGAUGACGACUCUCUCUUUUAACACUUUGUUUAAAAAAGUUAUCACGUGUCGAAACUCGUUUUCGCGAAAAAUAUGGGCGCGACAUCAUGACUGUGACACAAAUCUUGACAGGCACCAUAACUCGCUGAAACUUUUGCGGAGCGUACUUUAAAAUCCGACGCGAAGCUAUUUUCUCAAGCUUCUAUUAUGGGGUAAGCUUCUAUUCGCUGAAGCUUCUAUUAUAUUUGCCUAUUUACACUUCCAACCCAAACUCCACCGCACCUCACGAUGUUAUCUUUUCUUACUCGGUGCUGUUAUAGUCACUUAGUUUUCUUUUUAAACAAGAAUGUUAUUAUUUCCACUUUGACCCAUGUUAUACCCAUCGUUUUUACUCAAUUUAUGACAUGGCAAAUCUCAAAAUUUCAUGAUACAAUAUGUACGUCGCUUUAUCUGUCUAUCUAUCUAUCUAUCUAUUUAUCUAUCUAUAAAAGUACGAAUAUUUCACAUUAAAUAUUGAGCGAUUAAAAUAUUUUAAAAUAUUAAUCGAUUUUUGUGCCUUUAAAUAUUUGUGUAGUGAACCAAGUUAAAGGUGGAGAUAAUUGUAACUAACUACGAUUUUGAUUUUUGAAGAAUCCUUGUUUGCCAAAAAAAACUAUUUGCUAAUGAGUCUCAAUUCUGAUAGGAAUUCUUUCCAUCUUUGAUGGACUUUCUCUACUCCUAUUAAUUGACCUUUUUUUUAGUUUUUAAAAUGCUAUAUCCCACAAACUGUUCAAGACAACAAAAUUUCUUUUUUCAUCGUCAUGAUUUCUAACUUCAUAUAUUCUUUAUCUCGAGAAAGUUCAUCUUCAUGUUAUUAAAGCUAUUUCUCUAUCUUGGAUUUCAAUUAACGUACGUUCCUUGUUUUAAUUUUUUUAAUCUAAAUAAGGUAAUGUCUAUUCAUUGAUUAGUGUUUCUUUUCUUUUCCUCACGAUGUGUCAGUGUCACGUUUGUUGAUAUUUUAGUUGGUAUUUUUUAUAUUCCGACUUAUUUGUGAAAUCCCAAACCAUAAGAAUAUAUAUAUAUAUAUAUAAUUUUUUGCCUAACAUGUCCAUUUACCCUUAAAAUUGAAUAACAAUUAAACUGAUAAGUGGUUUUAAGGAUAUGUAAUUUCACCUAGCACAAAUUGAUAAAUAUGAUGGUUAAUGCUAGAAAUUUGACAGUAAAAUAAAGCAAACCAGUAUAAAAUGCAACUUGGCUCUCGAGCUAGAUCGCCCUCGAACCGACUGAGAAUAUAGUUAAGAAAUAUGAACGGAACUGAAGAACAAAAGAGUUUAAGAGUGAAAAGAGUAUUAUAUUGCUUUGAUAUGCGAGAAUUAGAUAAUUACAAAUGAUUAGAGCUCCCCUUUAUAUAGUAGAGGAAUUCUACUUAUGGUACAAUUCUAAAUUCAGAAGAAAAUCUCAUGAUUGGCUAAACAGCUGUUCUUGAUCUGAUUUGUGCCGAGAUUUCCGCCACGAUCCUCGACCGGUCACGGAUAUCUCGACUUUUCGUUAGUGGGCUAUCUUCGGUCUCGCUUGAUGUCUAUCUCGUUUGGUCUCGAUCCUUACUGGUAUCAAUUUCGAUCGGUACUUCAAAUCCCGAGCUUGGUACCACACCUUCAUGUCUCGGUCAUAUAUAACACAGGGCUGAUCCUCGACCCACCAUUCUGGUCUCGGUUAAUUAACAAAAUUGGGUGAUCCCGAUUUCGACCGUAUACAGAUAGUCCCCUCAUUUCUUGAGUGUGAUGACAAGAAAUGAAUUGAGACUGCGAUAUUUUCCUUGAUUUGUCAUGACGUUAGCACUGUGACGUAAGCGACUGAGGUGAACGAAAUGUGUCAUCGGUAUAGUUCCCCAGGCAUUUAAUGUGCAUCAGUUGAUGGUCGGCCACUACCAGUCUUUGAACCGUCGCCGUGAAACCCAUAAAUAGGUUCCUUUUCCAUUCUUUCAAACUUUACUUUCAACCUCUUCUACUCUAAUCUUCAAAGUUUUUUGCAUCCCUCAAUUUUUUCAUCUUCAAAUCUUUAAGUUCCAUUGUUGAUUGUUAAUUCCUUCUAAAACACCAAAUAUUAUCAUCUCCAUUAUACUUUGACUUCAAAGCCUAAUGGCGAAAACGUUUAAAAAUGUUCCAUAAAAAGAAAUUGCCUCCUCAUCUCGGCCGGCCAGCGAGAAAAUAGCGGUGGCGCCACGCCCUGAGGAAUGUGUUCCCGGGGGGGGGGGGGGUAUUAUUAGCUUUGACUUUAAAAUCGAGAAAACCUCAUCGGUCCCCGGUCAAUGCGAGCUGGUAUCGAGAUACAUAUGCUCGAUAUCCGAGAAUUCCUCAAACAAGUGAAGAAAGACUGUAACUGGGAAAACAAAGAAGUAGUGAUACCAGGCCCUAUUACGCUGGGUCCCUUCGAUCCAGUCAUCGUGGACUUAUGCAGAAAGUACCAAGUAAUCCUCGGACAAAUCCACCCCUCUUUCUGGAGGAUUGUAAUAUUGCUCCGAUUCUUUGUGAGCAAAAUCAACGGUCUCCCUUUCACCAUCGAUCACCUUAUAAGGUUGUAUAGCCCCCGACUCUACCGAGGUGGGCUAAUAAAACUUCAACGCCGGGCUACCAAGACACUUAUCCCGAGCAUAGAUGAGGACAAAGAUCGAGGUUGGAUGGGUUGGUUCGUCCGAGUGAAGACCUCAGACCUAAUUUCGGCUGAGAGCAUGUCGUUUCUCGAGAGGUGGAAUAUGAAACGUAAGUAUGAUUCCAAUAUUAGCUUCUGUUUGUCACUUUUACUUAUUCAUUUUUCCUUAUAGACAUUUUUUCUCGGUGUAGCUGUUGCUUGGAUGUCGAGUGCGGUCCCUCACCUCGAGAGUUAGGUUAGGAGCUUGGUCUCGACAUCUACAUAUGUUGAGCGCGCAUGGCACGAUCUGUUAAAGGGCCGGUGGGAGGCUAAAAAACAUGGCAAGUCUCGUUCUUGUACUUAAUGAUUUACUAAAAUGCCUCUCCGAGCUUACUCGGUUUCCCUUUUUUGCAGGUCUUGGGAAAGAUGCAACCAUGAGGCCCACGUCCGGCGGUGAAAAAGCCCCUCUACCCAUCUCAAAGCCACCUAAGGAGGGCAAGAGAAAAAGGGCCUCGACUUCCGAUAGGCAAGAGCCGAAAAAAGAGAGUGGCUCGUAAGCCAAAAAAGAAUGCCAUUCCUCUGUCUGUGGAGGCAGCCCAACUCCUAAGGGAGAAAGAAGAUGAAAAAGGAAAGAAGGAUGAUUUCGGUCUGGUGGCUUACAAAGGAGCUAAUACCGAGGGUCUAAAGGCCACUAGAUCAGUCGAAGCUGGAAAUAUUCUGCCUCUAUCUGACAGGGUCCAAGAGGGGGAUUCAAUUGGAGUCCCUGGGCCGACUAGAGCCGAAGGUGCCUCACCUCGGGGUAAGAAAGCAGUAAAAAUGUCUGUGGAGUCCGGUCUCGAGGCUCCUCGAGAUGGAGAGAACGCCCCAAGAGACCUAUUUGGGGCAAUAGAAAUUGGAGACUCCCCGUCGCUUCCUUCAUUCUCCAAGGAAAUGAUUCAGGAGGCUCGGGCCAUGAAUACUCUUUCUAUAGAAGGAGCCCAUGGAGGGGAAGACCCUUUCCAUGGUUAUUUCGCUGGGGUCGAUGAUAUUGCUGGCCUGAGUGACUUAGAUAUAUCGAGGAAGAGAUCGAAACUUCCUCGAGUUUCAGACUAACUAGUCAGUUUUCGGCCCCUAGUGUCAAUCCCGGGUGCAAAAGAACAAUCAUUAUCUCGAUCCCGGAGAAUGCACGAGUUUUUAUCGCCCUCGUAGCGGUGUCUAGUUACCUUCGGAGUCUAGUCACGGAGGAGGACCAAGAUCUGAUGGACGAGGUGGGAGCACCAUGUCUCUUUAACAAGGUCCAACAGGCCUUGAAUCAGGUAAGCCCCAAUUCCUUUUGUCAAUACCAAUUUCCAUACCUGUGUUUUUCUCUUCUUGCCUAAUUCUUUUUCUUCUAUUUGUGUGGGCCUCGGUGCUUCAUCACGAAUCUUUCUCUGGGUCUCGAGGAGAACUGAGCCGACAUGAGGCCGAAAUUCAAAGGCUCACCGAGGAGAAAAAUGCCCUCAAGCUUCUCAGUGAGCAAAGCAGAAGCCAAGGGCCUUCGAGCUGAGCUAGCUACGGCUCAGAAAGAACAAAGUAACCUGGCCGAGUAGGUAAUAAAAAUCUUAGAAGUUUAUGACAUCAGUUCGGGAGUGACAGCUAACAGUUCGAUCCCACGGGUCCAACAGAAGCUCGAGAUAAUCGGGCAGCUUUGUAAAGAAGUAGAUGCGAUGAAGGCGGGAACAACGGCAUAGAAGCAAAAAAUGGACCAUCUUGCCUUAGAGAAGGAGUCUGCUCAAGCUCAACUAACCACAGUUGAGAGUCAACUCCAAAGCUUGAAAGAGAAAAACUUGGUGCAAGCCAAGAAAAUCGAGAAGUUCCAGACUGGGUUGGGUUCAGCUGCCUCCGAUCGAGAGAGGCUGGUCACAGAACUUGUAGUGGCCAAAUCCGAGGCUGAGACGGCCAAGGCCUCUGCUGAGGCAAUUGUGGUCUUCUACUGAUCCGACGCCGAAGCCGCUCAAGCUCGAGCAAAGGAAGUUGUUGAAGUUUCUCAAGUUCGAGCACAUUGGGUUGCUGAGUUUGCCAAGUGCCAGUCUCGAAGGGAGAGUCUCGAGGAGGUCCACGCUCGUGGCUUUGAUCUUACUGCCGAGAUAGAAAAUGGAAAAGAACUUGAAGCUGAAACCAAAGCGUUGGCCUCUCCCAAUGAUGAUGAUUCCGGGAGCAUGAGCGGGUCCAAGAGUGUGGAAAACCCCGAGGGUGAAGAUGUUGCUUCUGGAGAAGAUCAGGCACUUACGAUCUUUCUUUUUGGGUUUUUGUAUGUAAUCUCGAUCGAGCCACGUUGCCCUUGUAAAUAACCUUUUGAUAUAUAUAAAGAUCUUUUUUCCUUUCUGUCUUGUCUUGUGAAAUUUUUACUUCAUUUCUGCCUUAUGAAACUUUUGCUUCAUUUAUGCCUUAUGAAAUUGUGUUCAUAAGUUCGAGGCUUAGGCAAUGAAACUGAACUAGUAUAGUUAUUACGAUUGAGUGAGUUCUUGCUCGAACUCGAAGUAAGGUAACCCCUAGGUUUUAUUUGAGCGAGGACGAUCUCACAAACUCAAAAGCAAAAAAUAGCCCUUAGGCUUUUGUAUUAGGCCGAUAUGGCCUUUGAAAAGAGAAUUCUUUAUGGCUUUCUCCCCUUUUCGGCUUGAAAAGUUUUAAUCAUUCGUAUUUGUAAAAAUCUAUAAUGCCUUAACACGAAAUAAGGAAUUGUUCGAGCGUUCAAACAAUUUUGUACUCAUUAGAGUUUUAGAGGCUUGAUAUUAUCGAAGACCUUGGUAAUUUUGCUGAGGGUAGCUUUUUUAACCGGUUUAUUAAAAUAUUCGAAGGCCUGAUUUAUUACGGAAUUUGGACAUCUCUGAACCGUGUUUGUUUGGCCGUAGCCUUUUUAGUUUGGGACUUGCCUCUUGGGCUUAUUUUCCCGUUUCACUUCGAGCUUGCCCGAAGUGUCAGUCCCCGAAUGGGGUGGCCGUGACCUAUACAAAUUGAGGGUUGCCCUUAAGGUCUUAUGAUCUCGAAGUUUUAAUAAUUCGAUCUCGUCUAUUUUUCGAAUGACAGUCCCCGAGUGUGGGGUUAGUUGUUCUAACUUUCGUUAUGAUCGGCCCUUAAGCCUGUUUACACAAAAGAUCAAGAGUAUGAAAUUGUAAAGUAGAAAACUUUUCUAAGGCAUGAGAUAUCGACAAGGAAAAAUACUUCUCCUAAUAGAUGAUUAUACAUGCGUACAUGUUUGAUGUUAGGGCUCGAGCAACCUAUAUGGGCACGGUUUAUUUGACCUUUUGGCUCUUACAAAAUUUACCUAUCGAGGCCCCGUUGUCAUGAAGUAAUUUCCUUGCAACAAAGCUGACAUUCUAGGGUAAUGCCCCUAGUAUUCGAGGUCAAUUGUAAAGAAGCCUCAGAUACUAUUGAAUUGUUCUAAGUUAGCACGAUCAAUGUUUGCCUCAUUAAAAACCUCGGCAGAAAACCCAUUUGGGACAAAAUUGGUCUAAGGGAAAAAGAGUGCAAUGCGUGCUUUCAGACCUAAAGACUUUGUGUUGAAGAAUCCAUCGUCGUUCUUGAUCGGACAUGUGCAAUGGUUAGUUUAAAAUAUAAAUGAAAAUAGAAGGGUCAUACCUUAGAAGUAGUAUUUUUUUAGGAGCGAUAUGUUCCAAUUGUUCGGUAAUUGUUCGUCGUUCAUCAUGCCGAAAUUGUAGGAUCCUUUUCCGAUGAUGUCGAGGACCUGAUACGAUCCCUCCCAAUUUGGACCUAGUUUUCCUUUAUUCAGAUUUCAAGUGUUAAGGGUGACUUUUCUUAGCACCAAGUACCCAAUUUUAAAAUAUCGAAGAUUGGCUCUUCGAUUAUAGUACCUUUCGAUCCGCUGUUUUUGUGCGGAAAAUCGAACGAGGGCGGCUUCGCAUCUUUUGUCCAAUAAUUCUAGCCUUGUAUUCAUGGCAUCGUGAUUCGAUUCUUCUGUUGCAUAUCGAAAUCUGAGGCUAGGUUCCCUGACCUCGGCUAAGAUAAGAGCUUUGGCACUAUAGACUAAAGAGAACGGUGUUGCCCCCGUACUAGACUUUGACGUUGUGCGGUAUGCCAGAACCUCGGGAAGUAUUUCUCUUCACUUUCCUUUGGUGUCGGUCAGUCUCUUCUUAAGAUUUUGGAUAAUGGUUUUGUUGGUCGAUUCGGCUUGUCCGUUCCCACUGGGAUGAUAAGGUGUCGAUAAAAUUAUUUUGAUCAUGUGAUCCUCGAGAAACUUAGUCACUUUGCUGCAGAUUAAUCAUUUUCUAUUAUCAGGCAUCCCGAAUCGACAUAUAAUGUUGUCCCAAAUGAAUUCUAUGACUUCUUUUUCUUUGACUUUCUCGAAAGCAUGUGCUUCAACCCACUUAGGAAAAUAGUCAGUCAUAAAUAAUAUAAAUUGGGCUUUACCUAGGGCCAAUGUGAGAGGGAUGAUGAUAUCCAUUGCCCAUUUCAUGAACGACCAAGGGGAUAAGACCGAGUAGAGCUGCUCCCUGGGCUGGUGAAUCAUUGGCGCAUACCUUUGACAUUCGUCGCAAUUUUGUAUCCUUUUCCAUAUCGACCUAGUAGUACCCUGCUCUGAUAACUUUGUGAACCAAUGAUUUGGCACCGGAAUGAUUUCCACAAGUGCCUUCGUGAAUCUCCUGGAGGACGUAGUCAGUAUCUCCCGGUCCCAAACAUAUUGCCAAUGGUCCAUUGAACAUUCUCUUGAACAGCAUUCCAUCUUCGGACAAAGUGAACCAUAUUGUCUUUGUGCGUAGAGUUCUAAACUUCUUUGGAUCUGAUGGGAGCUUUCCAUUCUUUAGGAAUUCUAUGUACUUGUUUUUCCAAUCCCAUGUCAAACUUGUAGAGUUUAUUUUGGUGUGGCCUUCUUCGAUCACUUAUCUCGAGAGUUGUACGACGGUCCCCGAGUUAAGUUCGUCAUCUUCGACCGAUGACACCAAGUUUGCAAGGGCAUCGGCCUCGCUAUUCUAUUCUUGAGGUACAUGUUGUAAGAUCCACUCUUUAAACCAAUUUAAAGUUACCUGUAGCUUGUCCAUGUACCUCUGCAUUCAGUCCUCUACGACUUCGAAAGUUUUGUUGACACUGUUUACCACGAGUAGGGAAUCACAUUUGGCCUUGAUGACCUCUGCUCCCAAACUUUUAGCCAACUCGAGACCUGUAAUCAUGGCCUCAUACUCGGCCUCAUUGUUAGUUAAUUUCAAAGUUCUGAUAGAUUGUCUAAUUAUAUUAUCUGUGGGUACUUUAAAAUGAUACCCAACCCGGACCCCUUCAUGUUCGAAGUGCCAUCCGGGAAGAAGGUCCACGCCCCUGAUGAUGUACAUUUUAAUAACAGUUCUUUUUCGACCUCUAGUACGAGGGCUAGCGUGAAGUCGACCAUAAAGUCUGCCAAGAUUUGAGACUUGAUGGCUGUUCGGGGUCAAUACUCGAUAUCGUACCCACUAAUCUCGACGACCCAUUUGGCCAAUCGACCCAAAAGUUCGGGUUUGUGCAAAAUAUUACAAAGGGGAUAAGUAGUUACAAUACAUAUUGGAUGGCAUUGGAAAUACGGUUUUAAUUUCCUAAAGGCGCUUAUUAAAGCAAGCGCUACUUUUUCUAAGUGAGGGCAUCUGGUCUCGGCCUCACCUAAGGUUCGACUAACAUAGUAAACAAGGAAUUGCAUACCUUGUUCUUCU
rnacentral:lncRNA from 1 species